GACGAACGCUGGCGGCGUGCCUAAUACAUGCAAGUUGAGCGAUGAAGAUUGGUUCUUGCACCAAUUUGAAGAGCAGCGAACGGGUGAGUAACGCGUGGGGAAUCUGCCUUUGAGCGGGGGACAACAUUUGGAAACGAAUGCUAAUACCGCAUAACAACUUUAAACAUAAGUUUUAAGUUUGAAAGAUGCAAUUGCAUCACUCAAAGAUGAUCCCGCGUUGUAUUAGCUAGUUGGUGAGGUGAAGGCUCACCAAGGCGAUGAUACAUAGCCGACCUGGGAGGGUGAACGGCCAAAAGGGGAAUGAGAAAAGGCCCAAAAUACUACGGGAGGCAGCAGUAGGGAAUCUUCGGAAAUGGACGAAAGUCUGACCGAGAAACGCCGCGUGAGUGAAGAAGGAUUUCGGAUCGUAAAACUCUGUUGGUAGAGAAGAACGUUGGUGAGAGUGGAAAGCUCAUAAAGUGACGGUAACUAAACAGAAAGGGACGGCUAACUACGUG
rnacentral:rRNA from 1 species